rnacentral:pre_miRNA from 1 species
AAUCGAGCCGCCAGGGCCAUGAAUGCAGAACUGUUAAAGGAAAAAGAACAAACAAUGUUACUAUGGCAUCUGGUAAAGCUUGC